UGGGGAAUUUUGGACAAUGGGCGCAAGCCUGAUCCAGCCAUGCCGCGUGCGGGAAGAAGGCCUUCGGGUUGUAAACCGCUUUUGUCAGGGAAGAAAUCUUCUGAGUUAAUACCUCGGGAGGAUGACGGUACCUGAAGAAUAAGCACCGGCUAACUACGUGCCAGCAGCCGCGGUAAUACGUAGGGUGCAAGCGUUAAUCGGAAUUACUGGGCGUAAAGCGUGCGCAGGCGGUUUUGUAAGACAGAGGUGAAAUCCCCGGGCUCAACCUGGGAACUGCCUUUGUGACUGCAAGGCUUGAGUGCGGCAGAGGGGGAUGGAAUUCCGCGUGUAGCAGUGAAAUGCGUAGAUAUGCGGAGGAACACCGAUGGCGAAGGCAAUCCCCUGGGCCUGCACUGACGCUCAUGCACGAAAGCGUGGGGAGCAAACAGGAUUAGAUAGCCCUGGUAGUCCACGCCCUAAACGAUGUCAACUGGUUGUUGGGAAGGUUCCUUCUCAGUAACGUAGCUAACGC
rnacentral:rRNA from 1 species